UACGUAGGGGGCAAGCGUUGUCCGGAUUUAUUGGGCGUAAAGAGCGUGUAGGCGGCCUGACAGGUCUGCUGUGAAAACUCGAGGCUCAACCUCGAGAUGUCGGCGGAAACCGUCUGGCUAGAGUCCGGAAGAGGAGAGUGGAAUUCCGGGUGUAGUGGUGAAAUGCGUAGAGAUCCGGAGGAACACCAGUGGCGAAGGCGGCUCGCUGGGCUCUACCUGACGCUGAGGCGCGAAAGCGUGGGGAGCGAACCGG
rnacentral:rRNA from 1 species